rnacentral:rRNA from 1 species
CCCUUAGAUGUUCUGGGCCGCACGCGCGCUACACUGAUGCAUUCAACGAGUCUAAAACCUGCUCUGAUAGGGGUGGGUAAUCUUUUGAAUGUGCAUCGUGAUUGGGAUAGAUGAUUGAAAUUUUUCAUCUUCAACGAGGAAUGCCUAGUAAACGCAAGUCAUCAGCUUGCAUUGAUUACGUCCCUGCCCUUUGUACACACCGCCCGUCGCCCCUACCGAUUGAAUGAUCCGAUGAAUAUCAUGGAUUGAGGAUGCAAGUAGGUUCACCUAUCUUCAUCUUCGAGAAGUGAAGUAAAUCUUAUCAUUUAGAGGAAGGAGAAGUCGUAACA